rnacentral:tRNA from 1 species
CGUCAGGUAGCUCAGUGGUUUAGAGCAGUCGCCCGGCAAGCGAAAGACCCGGGUUCGAUUCUCGGUCUAGCGA